AGGGUUUGAUCAUGGCUCAGAUUGAACGCUGGCGGCAGGCCUAACACAUGCAAGUCGAGCGGAUGAAGGGAGCUUGCUCCUGGAUUCAGCGGCGGACGGGUGAGUAAUGCCUAGGAAUCUGCCUGGUAGUGGGGGAUAACGUCCGGAAACGGGCGCUAAUACCGCAUACGUCCUGAGGGAGAAAGUGGGGGAUCUUCGGACCUCACGCUAUCAGAUGAGCCUAGGUCGGAUUAGCUAGUUGGUGGGGUAAAGGCCUACCAAGGCGACGAUCCGUAACUGGUCUGAGAGGAUGAUCAGUCACACUGGAACUGAGACACGGUCCAGACUCCUACGGGAGGCAGCAGUGGGGAAUAUUGGACAAUGGGCGAAAGCCUGAUCCAGCCAUGCCGCGUGUGUGAAGAAGGUCUUCGGAUUGUAAAGCACUUUAAGUUGGGAGGAAGGGCAGUAAGUUAAUACCUUGCUGUUUUGACGUUACAACAGAAUAAGCACCGGCUAACUUCGUGCCAGCAGCCGCGGUAAUACGAAGGGUGCAAGCGUUAAUCGGAAUUACUGGGCGUAAAGCGCGCGUAGGUGGUUCAGCAAGUUGGAUGUGAAAUCCCCGGGCUCAACCUGGGAACUGCAUCCAAAACUACUGAGCUAGAGUACGGUAGAGGGUGGUGGAAUUUCCUGUGUAGCGGUGAAAUGCGUAGAUAUAGGAAGGAACACCAGUGGCGAAGGCGACCACCUGGACUGAUACUGACACUGAGGUGCGAAAGUGUGGGGAGCAAACAGGAUUAGAUACCCUGGUAGUCCACGCCGUAAACGAUGUCGACUAGCCGUUGGGAUCCUUGAGAUCUUAGUGGCGCAGCUAACGCGAUAAGUCGACCGCCUGGGGAGUACGGCCGCAAGGUUAAAACUCAAAUGAAUUGGCGGGGGCCCGCACAAGCGGUGGAGCAUGUGGUUUAAUUCGAAGCAACGCGAAGAACCUUACCUGGCCUUGACAUGCUGAGAACUUUCCAGAGAUGGAUUGGUGCCUUCGGGAACUCAGACACAGGUGCUGCAUGGCUGUCGUCAGCUCGUGUCGUGAGAUGUUGGGUUAAGUCCCGUAACGAGCGCAACCCUUGUCCUUAGUUACCAGCACCUCGGGUGGGCACUCUAAGGAGACUGCCGGUGACAAACCGGAGGAAGGUGGGGAUGACGUCAAGUCAUCAUGGCCCUUACGGCCAGGGCUACACACGUGCUACAAUGGUCGGUACAAAGGGUUGCCAAGCCGCGAGGUGGAGCUAAUCCCAUAAAACCGAUCGUAGUCCGGAUCGCAGUCUGCAACUCGACUGCGUGAAGUCGGAAUCGCUAGUAAUCGUGAAUCAGAAUGUCACGGUGAAUACGUUCCCGGGCCUUGUACACACCGCCCGUCACACCAUGGGAGUGGGUUGCUCCAGAAGUAGCUAGUCUAACCGCAAGGGGGACGGUUACCACGGAGUGAUUCAUGACUGGGGUGAAGUCGUAACAAGGUAGCCGUAGGGGAACCUGCGGCUG
rnacentral:rRNA from 1 species